UGGGGAAUAUUGGACAAUGGGCGCAAGCCUGAUCCAGCCAUGCCGCGUGAGUGAUGAAGGCCCUAGGGUUGUAAAGCUCUUUCACCGGGGAAGAUAAUGACGGUAACCGGAGAAGAAGCCCCGGCUAACUUCGUGCCAGCAGCCGCGGUAAUACGAAGGGGGCUAGCGUUGUUCGGAUUUACUGGGCGUAAAGCGCACGUAGGCGGACUUUUAAGUCAGGGGUGAAAUCCCGGGGCUCAACCCCGGAACUGCCUUUGAUACUGGAAGUCUUGAGUAUGGUAGAGGUGAGUGGAAUUCCGAGUGUAGAGGUGAAAUUCGUAGAUAUUCGGAGGAACACCAGUGGCGAAGGCGGCUCACUGGACCAUUACUGACGCUGGGGUGCGAAAGCGUGGGGAGCAAACAGG
rnacentral:rRNA from 1 species